AUGGCAUCAUACAUGAAGAACACUGCUAAAAGACCACUGGGAACCAGCAAGGCUUUCACAUGCCUGUGGCUGGUGAUGCUGGUUGUCCUGUCAUCUGAAAAAAUGGCGUCGCAUGGCUGCGAAAAGCAAAAUAGCACAACGUGGGACGGAACGCCAUGCAUCCGGAGAGGCAAAUGCAACAAGCCCUGCAGGGCCGAGGGCUUCGACAACGGCCAUUGUGACAACCUCUUUACAUGCAUCUGCUACAGAAACUGCACCAACCUAUCAUUUAGCCAUAUGUAUAUGCCACUCCAUGCAUGA
rnacentral:rRNA from 1 species